rnacentral:rRNA from 1 species
GGUUCGAUCAUAGCCUGGGAUUGAACGCUGGCGGGAUGCUUUACACAUGCAAGUCGAACGGCAGCACGGACUUCGGCUCCUGUGGCGAGUGGCGAACGGGUGAAAGUAAUGUAUCGGAACGUGCCUAGUAGCGGGGGGAUAUUACGCGAAAGCGUAGCUAUACUGAAGCCCUUCGGGGGAAAGCGGGGGACUUUCGGCCUCGCACUAUUAGAGCGGCCGAUACUGAUUAUUGAAGCGGUGGGGUAACGGCUCACUAAGGCGACGAUCCGUAGCUGGUUUGAGGACGACCAGCCACACUGGGACUGAGACACGCCUGCAGACUCCUACGGAGAGGCAGCAGGGAAUUUUGGACAAUGGGGAAACCCCGAUCCAGCCAUCCCGCGUGUGCGAUGAAGGCCUUCGGGUUGUGCUACCCUUGGCAGGGAAGAAACGGCACGGGAUAAUACCCCGUGCAACUGACGGUACCCUGCAGAAUAAGCACUCGCCAACUACGUGCCAGCAGCCGCGGCAAUACGUAGGUGCAAGCGUUAAUCGGAAUUACCGGGCGUAAAGCGUGCGCAGGCGGUUCGAAAGAAAGAUGUGAAAUCCCAGAGCGGAACUUUGAACUGCAUUUUUAAAUUACCGAGCUAGAGGUGUCAGAGGGAGGUGGAAUUCCGCGCAGUGAAAUGCGUAGAUAUGCGGAGGAACACCGAUGGCGAAGGCAGCCUCUCUGGGAUAACACUGACGCUCAUGCACGAAAGCGGGAGCAAACAGGAUUAGAUACCCCGGUAGUCCACGCCCUAAACGAUGUCAACUAGCUUCGUUGGGGCCUUCGGCCUUGGUGGUGCAGCGCAAAGCACGCGUGAAGUUGACCGCUCAGAGUACGGUCAAGAUUAAAACCCAAAGGAAUUGACGGGGACUCGCACAAGCGGUGGAUGAUGAUUAAUUCGAUGCAACGCGAAAAAAUCUACCUACCCUUUGACAUGUCUGGAAUCCCGAAGAGAUUUGGGAGUGCUCGCAAGAGAACCGGAACACAGGUGCUGCAUUAGCUGUCGUCAGCUCGUGCCGUGAGAUGUUGGGUUAAGUCCCGCAACGAGCGCAACCCUUGUCAUUAGUUGCUACGAAAAGGCACCUAAUGAGACUGCCGGUGACAAACUGGAGGAAGGUGGGGAUGACGUCAAGUCCUCAUGGCCCUUUGCGGUAGGGCUUUACACGUCAUACAAUGGUCGGGACAGAGGCCGCCAACCCGCGAGGGGGAGCCAAUCCCAGAAACCCGAUCGUAGUCCGGAUCGCAGUCUGCAACUCGACUGCGUGAAGUCGGAAUCGCUAGUAAUCGCGGAUCAGCAUGUCGCGGUGAAUAUGUUCCGGGUCUUACACACCGCCCGUCACACCAUGGGAGUGGGUUUUACCAGAAGUAGUUAGCCUAACCGUAAGGAGGGCGAUUACCACGGUAGGAUUCAUGACUGGGGUAGUCGUAACAAGGUAG